GGUGGGGUUCCCGAGCGGCCAAAGGGAGCAGACUGUAAAUCUGCCGUCAUCGACUUCGAAGGUUCAAAUCCUUCCCCCACCACCA
rnacentral:tRNA from 5 species